rnacentral:rRNA from 1 species
UACGUAGGGGGCUAGCGUUGUCCGGAAUCAUUGGGCGUAAAGAGCGUGUAGGCGGUCCGGUAAGUCCGCUGUGAAAACUCGGGGCUUAACCCCGGGCCUGCAGUGGGUACGGGCAGACUAGAGUGCGGUAGGGGAGACUGGAAUUCCUGGUGUAGCGGUGAAAUGCGCAGAUAUCAGGAGGAACACCGGUGGCGAAGGCGGGUCUCUGGGCCGAUACUGACGCUGGAGGAGCGAAAGCGUGGGGAGCGAACAGG